AUGAACGCUGGCGGCGUGCCUAAUACAUGCAAGUCGAGCGAACGGACGAGAAGCUUGCUUUUCUGAUGUUAGCGGCGGACGGGUGAGUAACACGUGGAUAACCUACCUAUAAGACUGGGAUAACUUCGGGAAACCGGAGCUAAUACCGGAUAAUAUUUUGAACCGCAUGGUUCAAAAGUGAAAGACGGUCUUGCUGUCACUUAUAGAUGGAUCCGCGCUGCAUUAGCUAGUUGGUAAGGUAACGGCUUACCAAGGCAACGAUGCAUAGCCGACCUGAGAGGGUGAUCGGCCCCACUGGAACUGGAACACGGUCCAGACUCCUACGGGAGGCAGCAGUAGGGAAUCUUCCGCAAUGGGCGAAAGCCUGACGGAGCAACGCCGCGUGAGUGAUGAAGGUCUUCGGAUCGUAAAACUCUGUUAUUAGGGAAGAACAUAUGUGUAAGUAACUGUGCACAUCUUGACGGUACCUAAUCAGAAAGCCACGGCUAACUACGUG
rnacentral:rRNA from 1 species